GCUUCAGUAGUGCAACGGGUUACAGCACGCAAUCUUGGGUAGAGUGAGCUAUGGGUUCGAGUCCCGUCUGACGUG